AUCCAGCUGAUGAGUCCCAAUGAGGACGAAAUGCGCGUCCUACAU
rfam:Schistosoma curassoni strain Dakar, Senegal genome assembly, scaffold: SCTD_scaffold0008679